rnacentral:lncRNA from 1 species
UUUUAGCAAAAACAGAAAAAACUCUCAUUCUCCCAACUCUCCUUUACUCUCCAGACGCCGGCCUAGCUCCGGCCAAGGGUACCGGUGGGGUUUCGGCGCCUUCGCCAUCGUCGUGACCCCUUUUCAAUCAUUUUAACCCCGGGUAACCCCGAUCUACCCUAAAAACUGGCUAAAAACCGUCAAGGAUCAAUGGAAGACCGAAAAACUCUUCGGUUUCCUCCCCUCCGACCACCAACAAGGUAAGACCCCCUUCUCUUUUAUUAUUUAAUAUGUAAUCUUAUAUAUAUGUGCUAAAUAAAACAACAAAGAAAAUAAAUAAAUAAAUAAAU